rnacentral:rRNA from 1 species
AACGAACGCUGGCGGCAUGCCUAACACAUGCAAGUCGAACGAGACCUUCGGGUCUAGUGGCGCACGGGUGCGUAACGCGUGGGAAUCUGCCCUUGGGUUCGGAAUAACAGUUAGAAAUGACUGCUAAUACCGGAUGAUGACGUAAGUCCAAAGAUUUAUCGCCCAAGGAUGAGCCCGCGUAGGAUUAGCUUGUUGGUGAGGUAAAGGCUCACCAAGGCGACGAUCCUUAGCUGGUCUGAGAGGAAGAUCAGCCACACUGGGACUGAGACACGGCCCAGACUCCUACGGGAGGCAGCAGUGGGGAAUAUUGGACAAUGGGCGAAAGCCUGAUCCAGCAAUGCCGCGUGAGUAAUGAAGGCCUUAGGGUUGUAAAGCUCUUUUACCCGGGAUGAUAAUGACAGUACCGGGAGAAUAAGCCCCGGCUAACUCCGUGCCAGCCGCCGCAGUAAUAC